UAUAUACCCUUUGCUUAGAUAUUUAAUAAGUGUUAACAUUUUUUACCAUAAUUGCUUUCCCUCUUCUCCUUUUUUCUUCUCUCCUCUUUUGUACUCAACACACACGCGCGCGCACACACACACACACACACACACACACACACACAAAAUGAAUGAUUAUUACAUUUUAGGGAUUAAUUAGUUGAGAAUAACUUGGAAGCAUUAUGCUGCUACCCUAAAUACUUCAGAAUGUGUAUCCUAUCUUAUACCGUCUUAUGUAGCCACUGUAUAGUUAGGAAAUAUAAUCUAACAUUGAUAAAAUCUUUUUAAUUUAGUGUAGAGUCCAAAUUAAAAUUUCACCAGUUGUUUCAGUUAUACCUUUCAUAACAAUCCGUUCCCAGCCUUCUGCCUCUCCUCAAACCAUGGUCCGGUGCAGGAUUAAGUACUAAAUUGGUUGUCUUGUGAGUCUUCUUUACUCAUGAAUUGUGUGUCAGUUUUUCAUAUUAUUGACAUUUUUAAAGAAUAUUGGCGAGUUGUUUUGCAGAAUGCCCUUUAAUUUGGGCUUGCCAUGUUUAGAUUCAAGCUGUGUAUUUUUUGGCAGGAAUACUAUACAAGUGAUAACAUGUUCUCAUUUCAUCACAUUAGGGUGUUCAUAUUUCAGUUUGUCUUGUAAUAGGUGUUAACUUGGAUCAUUUGAUUAAGAUGAUUUCACUAGAUUUGUCCAUAAUAAAGGUCCAUUUUCUCCUUGUAAGCAGUCUGUGGGGAGAUACUUUUAGCAUUCUGUUUUCCAACUAAUUUUAACCCAGUAGUUUUAACAUCCGUUGGUGAUUCUUGCCAGAAUCAGUUAAUGCUGUUGUGGUUUAAUUCACCAAGUUUUGCAUGCACAAUUCUUUUUUUUUUUUUUUUUAAUGUUCAUUCAUUUUUGAGAGAGAGACAGAGCACAAGCAGGGGUGGGGCAGAGAGAGAGGGAGACACAGAAUCUGAAGCAGGCUGCAGGCUCUGAGCUGUCAGCACAGAGCCUGACAUGGGGCUUGAACUCAUGAGUUGAGAUCAUGACCUGAGCCAAAGUCAGAUGCUUAUCUGACUGAGCCACCCAGGCGCUCCUGCAUGCACAAUUCUUAAGGACAUUUUUAAAAAAUACUUUAUGCAGGAAUUAAGAAUUAUAAACUUCCAGUUAUAAAAUAAAUAAAUCAUGGGAUGAAAAGUACAGCAUAGGGUAUAGUCAAUAUUGUAAUAACUUUGUAUUGUAACAGGGGGUAACUACACUUACCGUGGUAUUUUGGAAUGUAUGUAAUUGUCAAGUCAUUAGGUUAUGCACCUGAAACUAACAAUAUUAUAUGUCAACCAUCCCUCAAUUAAAAAUUUAAAAAUACUGUAUAUGCAUGUGUAAAUAUCACAUAACCCAAGUAUUUUUACAAUUAAGAAUAUCUACAACAUAAUAUUGCUAUUAGUUUCUUUUUGCUGCUUUAAGAAAUGACCAUAGACUUCAUUCCUUAAAACAAUAGAAAUUUAUUCUAUCAUUGUCCUGGAGGCCAGAAGUCCAAAAUCAGUAUCCCUGGGCAAAAAUCAAGGCAUAAGCAAGGCUGCACUCCUGGAGACUUUAGGGGAAGAAUCUGUUAUGUGCCUCUUCCAGCUCUGGUGGCUGCUAGUAUUCCUUGACUUGUGGUCACAUCACUAUAGUCUUCAAGUGCAACGUUGUCAGAUCUCUGUCAUAUUGCCUUCUGUUCUGUGUCUCAAAUUUCCUCUUGCCUUCCUCUGAUAAGGAUAUAUGUAAUUGCACUUAUUUUUAAAUUUAAAAAUUCUUUUUGAGAGAGAGAGAGACACACACAGAGUACAAGCUGGGGAGGAGCAGAAAGAGGGAGACACAGAAUCCGAAGCAGGCUCCAGGCUCUGCUCUGUUAGCACAGAGCCCAAUGUGGGGCUUGAACUCACGAACCACAAGAUCAUGACCUGAGCCGAAGUUGGACUCUCAACCGACUGAGCCAUCCAGGCGCCCCUGUAAUUGCACUUCUGUUAUAUAUUCCAAAAGCUAAAUGUCCCCUAAUGCAGCCCAAUAAGCUCUUUAAGUUUGUUUGUGUUUAUAUUGUCUCAUUUUACUCUUAACUUCGAAGGAUAGAGAUUAAAAUAAUUCCAUAUGUGUCAUUGUUCUCAGGAAAUUUUAAGCAAAUGAUCUGGGAUAAAUGUAGACUAGCAGAACUUUUCUCUUUUUUGGGUGUUGGACUUCCUGUUGGAUUCUGUGAUACAUGCUUGUAACAUCGCUUUUUAAAAAUCGGUUACAAUUAAGCUUCUUAAUGAGGGGACUUCCUGCAAAUAAUUGUUUUUUUUUUUUCUUAAUUGUACACAAGGGUUAAGUGUGAAAUAACAAUUGUUUGAACUUUUGGAGAUUGGGAUAUCUUAAGAACUGAUUCUGCAGUGUUUGUUCAUAAGUCCUGUAUUACUUACCUUAUUUAUUGGCCAGGUCAAGUAGCAAAGACAGAAACAUCCCCAACUGAGGCAUUCACCCACCAUCUUUCAGUACUGCAGUGGAGGCAGGGAAUUACUCGGAGUAGCAGAGUGACACUGUAGAAAUGACAGAUAAUCGACAGGAUCAGAAUAGAGGAUAGAGGCUUCUAAUAAUCUGGGCUCUUGGUUGCAAAUAACAGAAAUCUAAUCCAAAGGAAAGAGGUAAAAAAGGAAGGGGUGGGAGGAGGAUAUAUCUAGGCAUUCGCAUCUGGCCUUCGCAUACCUGUAUUAUUCUAGAUCUAUUCUAGAAAUUCAACAUUAAUAGUAACUCUUUCCUUAUUUCUUACUUUUACUUUCCUUUUCUUAGGCUGGCUGUAGUUGGAGAAAAAUGGUUUUUGGCAGCUUCAGACUUACUUACAUGGUCCUUAACACCUAUGUCUCAGACAGAGAUAGUGCCUCUUUUCUGAUAAUUCUGGCAAAAAUCUCUGGGACGUUCUUUCGUUGGAUCAGUUUGGGUUAUUCCUGAUCUCAUCUGUAGGAUCUGAUGCUUAAAUUGGUCAGGUUUGAAUUGUGUACUGACUGCUCCACUGAGGGUGUGAAGAGGAGUGAGGUGGGGAGGAGUGAUCAUCACUCAUCACCGUCCAAACCAAAUAGAAUGAUUUUCGAAUAAGAAACGCUGUCCUGUUACCUGAGAAAGGGAAUGGGUGCUAAAGAGGGAAAAUAGUUACGUUACGAGGCCAAACUCUAGCAUGUGGUGACAUCUGAUGCAGAAUCCUAUAUACAUUGUACACUCAGUAUUUUUUUUUAAAUAAAAUAUGCUUGAAUAGUCCUUUUGAAAACUUGAGAAAUUCUCUCAGAACUCUUGUAUUUGACAUUUAAGUUUCUCAGGGUACCCAGGUGGAAAUAUUUUAGCCAUUCUUUAAACAAUUAAUGGGGCGCCUGAGUGGCUCAGUCGGUUGAGCGUCCGACUUCGGCUCAGGUCAUGAUCUCGCAGCCAGUGAGUUCGAGCCCCGCGUCGGGCUCUGUGCUGACAACUCAGAGCCUGGAGCCUGUUUCAGAUUCUGUGUCUCCCUCUCUCUCUGACCCUCCCCCGUUCAUACUCUGUCUCUCUCUCUGUCAAAAAAAAUAAAUAAACGUUAAAAAAAAUUUUUUUUAAACAAUUAUUUAUUGAAUGUCUACCACACUGUUUUACCUGCAGUAUCAUUUAAUCUUUCCACAGGUUAGAUGCGCCCCAAAAAAUAACUCUUAUGUAUAGAAGUAUAUUUCAAGACAAUUUUAAAGUGAUUUUUUUUUCAUGUUUUAUCUCAGUAUGUCAACUAGCCAGGCUAAAGGAUUUAUGCAAGCCAAGGAACACCAAGUUAUAUUUUAAAACAUACUUUAACCAAGGCUCACAGGCUAUCUCCUUACCUUUUAUUUAUCUAAAGUGCUAUGGGAUUUUUAAUGCCUACGCAAAGCAUAUAGUAAGCCUCAUCUGGAAGACCCAUGCAUAGCACAGUGCAACUACUCAAUUUAUCUACCUUGGAAGGAUGAAAGGCUAAGUUGAAAAAUCAUUUAUCAGUUCCACUUCACUUGUUACAUUUUUGCUUCAGAAACAUCCUUCAUCUCCUGAGUCUCAUAAUCUCUUGCCUUUGAGGUUGUUUCAUAGACAUGCUUUCACUCAAACGCCUUCAAUUUGAACUUCUUCAAGAGGGGUGCCUAUCUCCCAGAAGUUGCCUCCAGGGGCUGUUUUACAGCUGUUAUUUCAGCUCCUCCCACCUCGCUUGUUGAAGAAAGUUCUCUCACCAAUGGCAUUUCUAAUAGGAAACCUGUACUAGUCAAGCUGUACAGCAGCUUUUUGAAGAUUGAGCACACAACCUAGAGUUCCUUAAAAAGAAGACAACAACGAAAUCCAAUGCCCAAGAUACCCGUGUCCUUCAAAAUGAACUCUAGAUGCACCAGCUUUUAUGCUUUGAGUGAAUUGUCCCACUGGAACGAGACUGUACUUUUGGCUGACGAUGAUAAUAAUUCUCUGAGAAAUUCACAGACCCUAAUUGUGAUUGAUCUCUCUGCUGUUUUUCUAGCAAGAUUUAAGUUUUCAUGAAUAGGUAGUGAAUGUUACCCAUAUGUUUAGGGUUCUGUUUUCCUACUAUACUCUUCCUUUCCCCCAACUCCUUCCCCUUGACUGUAUCAUUUAGAAAGCUGUUCUUUGAAAUUAUUGUUGUUUAUUGCUUCUUAUUUAAUUGUUCCAUCUCCUCAACUAUACUAUAAACCUCUCAGAGUCAUGAACCCUAUGCCCUGUUUGGUAUUUCCGUACAAAGAUCAGGUAAAUAUUACUUGGGGAUAUGGUACUUAGUAAAAUAACCCCUAAGUUUUUAGCAUCUAGGUAUCAUGGCAGACACAAAGAUAAAUAAAACAUGGUUCCUGCCUUCAAGGAGCUUUUAAUAUUACACAAGAGAUGCAAUAUGCAUUUAAGUUUAAUAGAAAAGGGUCAUUAAGGAGUGGAUAAUCAGUUUCUCCUCAGGAAAUCAGGGCAGGCUUCAUGAAGGAGUUGGUAUUUGGGUUGGUAUUGAGAUUGUUGGGGUAUUUUCAUGUAAUCAUCUCAUGGCUGAAUUACAUUAUGGAAGAGACAUUUAAAGGCAAACAGUAGUCAUCCUAACCCCUCAUGUGUAUAAUUCUUAGUGGUUGGCAAAGCUCUUUCACACUUAUUUCUUACUGGUGCAUCAAAACCCUAUGAGUCUAUAAAGGUUAUAUUUUUAUUGACAUAUAAAAAUCUUACCUAUUUAGUUUUGAGAGUUUGUUUUGUUUUCUGAUUGCCUUGGUGGUCGGAAAACAGUAUUAUCAAUCUUGACUUCUUCUGCCAUCGUCUUUUGUCCUUGAGAUUAGCACUCUAGAAGAAAGGAGACAUUUCUUAUUUUUAGCAUCUGCUCUGAACAAUUAGUACUGAUUCUAUCCUGUUUGGCCAGAUUUGUCAGUAACCAUGUUGCAAUACUAUUAUAACAUUAUUUUUGUUUUUUUAAAAAAAAAAAACACUAAAGAAAAUGAAGCUAGAACUUUUGCCUGUUAGUUUGAAGUAUUCUUGAAUUUUCUGUGUAUCUCAUAUCUGUUCGUAUGUUCCUGUGAGAUAUUUCUGGACAAUAUGCCUGCUAAGAUAAUGUGUAACAAUGUUUAGAUGUGCUAUAUCUUUCUAAAUAAUUUUUCUUUCCUCUAAUAACACUGCAUUUUAUCUAUUUGGUUCCUUUUUUCCUUUGUGUUCAAAUAUUCCUUGAGGAGAAAGGAAAAUGUAAGAAGAAACCUUAGGUCAAUGUAGUAAUAAGUUUUUUUGUGUGUUAUCAGAAAACUGCUUAAUAAUAAACUUUUCUCUAGCCACCUGCUUUUAAAAUAGCCUUUAUUAAAGGCAAAAUUUGGCUUUGAUUUUGCCAAAAUCAAAUUUCAUUCUUUUGCUAUUAUUCAGAAGCCUGUGUGUCUCACCUGAUUGAUCAUUCCAACUAUUUCACUCUGUGCUUCAAAUCAUCAAAAUCCCAUUUGCCCCACUGCAGGGUUGGCAUAAGAAUGAAUGUGAUGGCAGCAAUUAACAUUAUGAUCGCAAUGAAGACUUAAAAAGGAAGUAGCAGCUUCAUUAAUAUCUAGCAUUUUUUUUUGCCCAUAGUCAACAUCAGUAAGAAAUAAUGGUUGGGAAACAAAAGCAGGAAAAGCUGCUUUUUAUAAAUAGUUUUGAAAUUAUUUUUGUUCUUCAGAGGAGUGAAAAGUAAGCAAAUUCUGUAGUUAUUUUCUGUGUUGAUUGUUUUCUACCAUGUGGCUUAGGAUUCUUAAUCGUUGUGGUUAAUUUUGCUUUUAAACUUCAGGAACAACACAACAAAUUGGAAAAGUCAGUGUUCUACAUAGAUUAAAAGAAAUCCAUUAUUAAUUAGAAAAAGUCAAAGGACUUGUAGCACACUCUUAUCCACAUACAGACUUAGGCAUAAUGUUUCCUAGUUGCAGUCAUUGUGUUAUUGCAUGCACUGCAGGACUUAGUUUGCUUGAAUUUGAAAGUAAUUAUUUAAUGUCCUGGAUUUCAAUCCUUAUUAAAAAGAACAUCAUCUAGGUAUUUAUAUAUAAAAGCAAAGCAACCAUUCUUGGCAAUUUACUAUUUUUUGUAAUUAUGACUGUUUUAUAUAGACUUCUUUUUUUUUUUUGUCAUUAGAUUCUUAUUGUAAUGCCUUUGCUCUUUGCCCUGUGAUGUUGCUUUGUUGGUUUGUUCAUCUACCUUGUAGACCUUGAUGACCCUCAUGUUCUAGUCCUUUGGCUUUUUACUAGGCUGAACCAAAAGAAAGCACUUGGUUGCCAGCAAAAGAGCUGAACAAAGGCAGGAAGGAAGGGUUUUAAGCAUGGGAUACUGCCAUAGAAGACAGCAAAUACAUUUCAGCUCGGUCUAUGAAAACCAGCUUCUAUAAGGCUGGGCCAGUUCACUGUCAUUUUUAUUAUUGGCUAGCUCUUAGUCUCUGUACACUGCUGAAAAAGUUCUAUUUUAUCACAGAAAGGUUUGACAAAAUUGGCCUGUUCAAAUCCUUUAAAGUUGGGGGAAGUUGGUUUUCUACAUCAUAUACCCAUAAUGGAGGCAAUCUGCCUUUUAACUACAUUAUGUUUUAUCUGUACCUUUAGUUCAGGGUGAGAUUUAUUUAUAAAGCUUUUAAACAAAGACUUUUUAUUUUCACUGUUUUUUCUUUCAAUAUUGAUAUUGAAGGAAAAUGUAUGGGAACCAUUAAGAUAUGGUCAGUAGACAUUAAAAUAAAGCAGAAAGCAUUUGAUAGUUUCCUUGGGUAUCAAAGUAGAAAAAGGCAUACACCAUAUUUAAGUAUGUCACCAGCACUAUGGAAUGGCAGUAGUGAGUUUUUCAGUUCUAUUUUAGAUUGUAAGAACUAGCAGAUUUAAACUAAUAAUUGCUUUAAAAUACAAGCUGUCCAGAAUACUUCUGUAGUGAAAUGAUAUAUUAAAGGCCCGUUAUUAGAAUACUGGUCAACAUUAGCGCGAAGUUUUAGUUUCCCCAUCAUUUGAAGGCAGUAAGUUACUGGUGAGGUUUGGGGCCUAAAAUCAUUACUAUGUCUUGCAGUAUAUAUGUGAGUCUGUGAGUGUUACUUGUGACUUAUAUGAAGAGAACAAAUAUAGCAAAAUCUUUAAAAAGUCUUCUUACCUACCAUUUUCCAUGAUGGGGAUUUGUGUUCUGAAGGCUAGUUCAGGCUCUAUUUGUUUUCCCAUAGUAAUACCAUUCAGUGUAUUUUUGCUUAAGAUUAUUACAAAUUUAAUCUAGUUUCCAAGAAUAUAAAAUUUAUAUUUGUGAAGGUUUAUAUGCCAUUUAUGUAUUGUUAGAGAAUUUGUUUUAUACAGGUUAAAAACAAAUUCUAACUAUGUUAACCUGAUUUUUAUGUUACUGUGUUAGAAGGCAGAUAAAUAAAAUUUCCUUUACACCUACUAAUUAUGGCUAAAAGCAAAAAUUUUUAGUGUUAUAUUAAGGCCAGACAAAAUAAAGUAUUGAUGUUUGAAAGGCUUAUGAAUAAGAAGUCUUUCAAUUAUUUUCACAUCAUUUAAGCAUAAACCAAAUGAUAAUUUGUUUACAUUCACCAAAUAAAUUCAUAUAAACAGUCUUUACAUAGUGGGAGAAAAUACAUUCUAUACUUCACAACUCUUAAAAUAAAGGAAAAGAAGCUGUAGGAGUAGCAGAGGAAGGGGUUGGGAUGGGCAGACAACAUAAUUUCUUAUAAAAGAGAUGGAAUUGAACAAAAUCUGUUCUUCUAAGAAACCAUCAUUUUUGGGAUAUCAUUGUUAAGAAAAAGCAAUCCAACUAGGAUUAAACACAUUUAAUAAAAAAUAAAAUGUAGGUGCAUAAAAAAUAGCCAAAAGGUAUAUAUUUGUCCAAUAGUCGAGAUAUAUGUUCAGAUUUUAUUAUUGAUACUACUACAGCAAUACUAGACUUGUAAAGUGUUGAAUAAAAUUUUAUGUUUCUAAAAACAAUAAUUGAUUUAACAGAAUGGUUUGAGAAAAUCUAUCCAAGCUUCCUAACACACUUGGACUUCUCAUUGCAUUUUGUUAAAGGAUUUAUACACAUAAUAAUUGUAUAUACAUGACAAUAGGUAUCUGGGUUAAAGAUGUUUUUUCUUGUUUUUGAUAUUAAGGCUCAUUUAGGAAUUUUGCUUCUAAUAUGCCAAAUCUUCAGUGAUUUAGAUAUGUCCUGAUGAUAGCUAAAAUUUUUACUUUGUAACUGAGUAUUUGGUGUGGUAUUGGCCUGGCUAAUGAGUGUAUAACAAAAUGCUAUAAAUGGAAAGCUAUUUCUGACUUAAACUCUUGAUUCUUCUACAUUAGUGCUAGUAAAAUUGAUGUAUUCUUAGUUCCAAGUAGUGGUAUUUUAUAAUGCCAUAGCAAAAAGCAUGGUUGGAAAUGAGAAGUGCUGUCUCUUAGAAGUUCUCUCAUAUUUCAGCUAAAACAUACUCAGCAAAAAAGAUAUGUAAAUUAAAAGAAAAUCUCCAAUUUCCUAUUCUGAGUAAAGCUUUGAUUUUUGCUGAUUCAGGAAGUAAGGUUGACAUUGGAGCUUCUCAUUUCAUCUGGAAUAAUCACUUUUUCCUUUUGAAAAGUCUUUCAUUUUAGCAGCAAUAUCUUCUAAAACAGUCCAUUUUGCAUGGAUGAACCUGUUUUUCUCUAGAUAACACAGAAAAUACAACUAUCAUAAACGGUAACCUGCUUUCUAUAGUAUUGCUUUCCUGGGUGCCCAGUGAGAUACUAAAGUGCCAGGCUGUUCAUUCUGGAGAUUUCACUGAUUUUCUUAGCUGCAUCCCUUCCCCCACUCCCCAAAUAACAACCCCCAACAGAAGAAUUUUAUAAUUUCCAAAUUGACUACUGCAAUAAAAUGUUUAACCCCAGGGUUAGAUAAAUAAGAUGCUGACUACCUAAUGAAGGUGGCUAAUAUCAAUAGAGCUCUCCCCUAAGCCAGUGGCUCAUCAGCUUAGGAUCAUUCAGAAUAUAUAAUUCUCGUUCUUGAAACAUUGUGCUGGGUUUUUUUUUUUUUUCCCCCUAUUAAAAUAGGUGGUUUGGUUGUUAUCUUACUGAUUCUAAUAUUUUUCCAAAUUUUACCAUUAGUAAUUUUUUCUCCCAUGUAUCAAGAUAUGCUUAAAAUCUGAAUAAAUAAUAAUGAAUUUGCUUUUGUUAAUAGGGUUAGGGCAUAGGGUAUCCGGCAGCAUUCCAAAUAUUUGGCUGCCAAAAUAAGGAAAGUAUAAAUAAACUGUUUAUUUGUUUAAAUUGGUAUUAAGCAAAAUGAUUAGCAAUUUAAAAUGUUCUGGUGUUAUCUACAUACAAUCCAUUAAAAUUUCCAGAAAAGGUCAAAUUAUGUAUUGGUUGGUUUUCUGCCAAAUGAUUGAGUUUCUCUUUAGCGUCUAUGGUAAAUGGAAAUUUAUAUGUGAUGUUUUGCUUUGAUUAGAGAGUUAUAAAUGGAUCCAUUGUGUUUCAGGUAUAUAAUUUCUGUGCUCUAUGUAUGGGGACACUUCCUUGCUUCCCACGGUACUUGACAGCGCUCUCAAAGGAGCAAAUGUAUGCUUAUGCAAUCCUGGACACAAUAUGUAUUUCUCUUGCUAUUUGGACUGUUAAUGCUGUGUGAUACAAAGUACUUAUAUCAAAUUUUGUAUUCUGUGUAGAUAGUGUUUUAAAAUUUCUUCCUGUUAGCACAUCUCUUGUAUUAAUGCAAUAAAGUCAAGAUGACAGGAUGACAUAGUGAAGCUCUUAUUAAAAACAUGUUCUAAUUGUUGCAGAGAUAUUAAUGGAAAUCUAGAGCUUCUGCCUCAAGUUAUUUCAAAUUGUGUAUUUUAUAUUUACAGUUUACAUUUACAUAUUAAUUUUAUCUAUUAAGAGUUGCUUUCAAAUUAAAAGAUUUACAUAUGCUUAAACAAGAGCAUGAAAUUAGAUUUGAACUCCAGAAGCCAAUUCAUUGUAUCAGCACACUAAAUGGUUUUGCAUUAAGGAAAGCCAGAUUCAAUGACAAGUUUGGCCCCCAUACUUGCAAAUACCAUGAAUGAAAAGCAAUCAUGGGAGUCAUAUAUGUAUAUUUAUCUAUUAUGUAAAGAACAUAUUCCUUUGUCUUAGACAAUCAGAGUGCUCAAAUUAUUAUGAUUAGCAUUUAUGAUUUCCCAGAACAUAGGGAAGAAUUAUGGUGGGAAAUUUAGAAUUAUUUGAGUGAAGUUCAUUAUAUAUAGAUAACACAGCUUAUAAAGGAAUUGAUGAAUUAUCCAUUUGAAAUUUAUAUGUACUUGUUUUUAUCUUGAUGUCAUAGGCCUACCGUACAAAAUUUAAGAAUAUUAUGCAAACAAAUUUUAAGAUUUUAACAAGGCCUUCCUUGGGAAAUUCUAAACCUUUGUGUAAAAUUGGCAGAUUAUCUGGACAGUCUCACCCUGUAAAAUUAUUUCAGCAUUGUGUGCUGCUGGCUAUAAGAGCUUUGAAAACUCUUUAAUCCAAGUAUUCUUUUUUGGCAAAAUAUUGCCUUUUUUUUUUUUUAAUCUUAUUUUAGAGGGGAUGUCAACAUCGCUUCCUCAUCUGCUCAGUUUUUAAAACUACCAUUUUGUGGUUCAUUAAUAGUAAAUUAUAAGUGCCACAGAAAGGACUGCAGUGUUCAAGAUUCAUGCUUUCAGGGUUAAAACUGAGUUUAUAUGCACACAUACUACAUACUUAUAAAGCCAUAGAACAAGUAUUCAAGCUGCACUGUGGACUAUACUAGAGGAGUUAGCAUGCUUUCUUUACAGACAUGGUUGAUUGGAAAACAACAACAACAAAAAUUAUCCAGACGGGCUACUGAAAUGCUUUUCAUUCUUUGCUGUACAAAACUGUAUCAGCAAAAUGUUGAUCAAAGUUCAGAUGGGAACAUUAACUAGUCUAGCUAGGUUUCCAGUGUUUUCAUUUGUUAAUUCACAGAGAAUCGUACAAUAGACUGGAUUAUUGCGUAGUAUGAAGUUUGCCGUAAAAUUGUGAGAUAUGACGACAUGACUAUAGCAUUUGUCUGCUUUGUCUGCAAACUUUCCAUCCUGCAUAUCUUGACUGUCAUUGUAUUCAUUUUGCAAUCCAUUAACCAAUAAAGAUUUACCUUAAAUUAA